rnacentral:rRNA from 1 species
GACUACCGGGGUAUCUAAUCCUGUUUGCUCCCCACGCUUUCGUGCAUGAGCGUCAGUGUUAACCCAGGGGGCUGCCUUCGCCAUCGAUGUUCUUCCAUAUCUCUACGCAUUUCACUGCUACACAUGGAAUUCCACCCCCCUCUGCCACACUCUAGUCCUGUAGUUUCAAACGCAGUUCCCAGGUUAAGCCCGGGGAUUUCACAUCUGACUUACAUAACCGCCUGCGCACCCUUUACGCCCAGUAAUUCCGAUUAACGCUCGCACCCUACGUAUUACCGCGGCUGCUGGCACGUAGUUAGCCGGUGCUUCUUCUGUCGAUACCGUCAUGGAUUACUGGUAUUAUCAGUAAUCUUUUCUUCUCGACUGAAAGAGCUUUACAACCCGAAGGCCUUCUUCACUCACGCGGCAUUGCUGGAUCAGGCUUGCGCCCAUUGUCCAAAAUUCCCCACUGCAGCCUCCCGUAGG